UCCUACGGGAGGCAGCAGUGGGGAAUAUUGGACAAUGGGGGCAACCCUGAUCCAGCCAUGCCGCGUGUGUGAAGAAGGCCCUCGGGUUGUAAAGCACUUUCAGCGAGGAAGAAUGCCUAGCGGUUAAUACCCGCUAGGAAAGACAUCACUCGCAGAAGAAGCACCGGCUAACUCCGUGCCAGCAGCCGCGGUAAUACGGAGGGUGCAAGCGUUAAUCGGAAUUACUGGGCGUAAAGCGCGCGUAGGUGGCUUGAUAAGCCGGUUGUGAAAGCCCCGGGCUCAACCUGGGAACGGCAUCCGGAACUGUCAAGCUAGAGUGCAGGAGAGGAAGGUAGAAUUCCCGGUGUAGCGGUGAAAUGCGUAGAGAUCGGGAGGAAUACCAGUGGCGAAGGCGGCCUUCUGGACUGACACUGACACUGAGGUGCGAAAGCGUGGGUAGCAAACAGGAUUAGAUACCCUGGUAGUCCACGCCGUAAACGAUGUCGACCAGCCGUUGGGUGCCUAGCGCACUUUGUGGCGAAGUUAACGCGAUAAGCCGACCGCCUGGGGAGUACGGCCGCAAGGUUAAAACUCAAAUGAAUUGACGG
rnacentral:rRNA from 1 species